rnacentral:tRNA from 1 species
AUUUUAAUAAUUAAACUCUUUAAAGUAUUUACAUUGAAGAUGUAAUUUAAAUUGGAGUA